rnacentral:tRNA from 1 species
UGGGACGUCGCCAAGUGGUAAGGCACCGGGUUUUGGUCCCGGCAUUCAGGGGUUCGAAUCCCUUCGUCCCAGCCA